rnacentral:misc_RNA from 1 species
CAUGCAAAAGAAGAGCUUGACCUGAACCGAGAUAUAUACUGUGAAUAGCUACUUACAUUUUAAACAACCCACGCCACUGGCAAAUCCAUCACCAACAAACCCGUCCUGACAUUUGCACCUAAACCCUCCUUUAACUGUGGUGGCAUUGACAGUGUUUGAAUUGAUGGCACAAGCUUUCUUGGAAGAAUUCCCACCUGGAAUCGCCCAUUCCAAUU